ACUAGCUUUCCCUGCUAGCUACUAUCCUUGUCCUCUCCCUCCUCUUGCACCCCUUCUCCCUCCUUGUUCUCCUCUCCCUCCUCAUCAUCAACUCCUUUCUCUACCUCUUUUGCCUUAUCGAUCCCUAACUUGUCAUCCUCAACUGCACCUUCUCCAACCAUGAGACCCUUGGCGCUCUUAUCACCCUCUCCAUCUUUGCCAUCUUCCUCACCUCCAUUGGAUCUCUCCUCAUCUCUACUCUUAUGGUUGGUGCCACACCUUGGUGUUGGUCCUUCAAUAUCCUAUAUCACCUCCUCUAGGAUCAUAAGGUCUGAUCGCCUCUUGGGCCUUGAGGUCUAGCCACCUUGCUUUCAAAUCGAUGAGAUCUGACAGCAUCAUCUUAAGAGUUGCGAGAUUGGGCUGCCUUGCAUUUGAUCCCAUGAGAUCUAGCCAUUUUCUCUCCAUGUCAGCAAGAACCAUCAUCUCCACCUCCAUUGCAGUGAGAUUUCUUCAUGCCUUAUCCAUUCUCAUGAGAUUUGGUAGUACCCCACCCUCAAACACUCAUGCUUGCCUUCAUCGCCCCACCUCCAUGAUUGGAGAACUAUUUACAUGCUCGAUGACCUCUUCCUUAAUGAUCAAGACACCAAUAGUGGCAUCUAUGUCGACCAAAGAGAGAAAAGCAAGAACCCUAUUUUGGAAAUCAAUCUAGACUAGCUUCGGGAC
rnacentral:lncRNA from 1 species